GACGAACGCUGGCGGCGUGCUUAACACAUGCAAGUCGAGCGGUAAGGCCCUUUCGGGGGUACACGAGCGGCGAACGGGUGAGUAACACGUGGGUGACCUGCCCUCAGCUCUGGGAUAAGCCUGGGAAACCGGGUCUAAUACCGGAUAUGACUCCAUGACGCAUGUUGUGGGUGGAAAGCCUUGUGCGGCUGAGGAUGGGCCCGCGGCCUA
rnacentral:rRNA from 1 species